rnacentral:rRNA from 1 species
GAUGAACGCUGGCGGCGUGCCUAAUACAUGCAAGUCGAGCGAACGGACGAGAAGCUUGCUUCUCUGAUGUUAGCGGCGGACGGGUGAGUAACACGUGGAUAACCUACCUAUAAGACUGGGAUAACUUCGGGAAACCGGAGCUAAUACCGGAUGAUAUUUUGAACCGCAUGGUUCAAAAGUGAAAGACGGUCUUGCUGUCACUUAUAGAUGGAUCCGCGCUGCAUUAGCUAGUUGGUAAGGUAACGGCUUACCAAGGCGACGAUGCAUAGCCGACCUGAGAGGGUGAUCGGCCACACUGGAACUGAGACACGGUCCAGACUCCUACGGGAGGCAGCAGUAGGGAAUCUUCCGCAAUGGGCGAAAGCCUGAUGGAGCAACGCCGCGUGAGUGAUGAAGGUCUUCGGAUCGUAAAACUCUGUUAUUAGGGAAGAACAUAUGUGUAAGUAACUGUGCACAUCUUGACGGUACCUAAUCAGAAAGCCACGGCUAACUACGUG